rnacentral:rRNA from 1 species
AACAAACGCUGGCGGCGUGCCUAAUACAUGCAAGUCGAACGGGGUAGCAAUACCUAGUGGCGCACGGGUGAGGAACGCGUGGAUAAUCUGCCUUAGAGUGGGGGAUAACUAGUCGAAAGAUUAGCUAAUACCGCAUAAGACCACAGGAGCUGCGGCUCUAGGGGUCAAAGGUUUUUCGCUCUAAGAUGAGUCCGCGUAAGAUUAGCUAGUUGGUGAGGUAACGGCUCACCAAGGCGACGAUCUUUAACUGGUCUGAGAGGAUGAUCAGUCACACUGGAACUGAGACACGGUCCAGACUCCUACGGGAGGCAGCAGUAGGGAAUAUUGCACAAUGGAGGAAACUCUGAUGCAGCGACGCCGUGUGAGUGAUGAAGGCCUUCGGGUCGUAAAGCUCUGUCGCAGGGGAAUAACACAAUGAAGGUACCCUGUAAGAAAGGAUCGGCUAACUUCGUGCCAGCCGCCGCCGUAAAAC